CCGGGGAAGAUGUACGCGUUGUUGCCUUGUCCCGGAUAGAAGGUCUUGCCCUUGUACUUGAACGGCGGGAAUGGGCUGCCACUGGCGUACACGCAUUUGCCCUGCGAGAGGACGACAGGCGAGUGAGCGGUCCGCUGUCCCUGGCCUGUGCCUUCAGACGUCGCCGAACUUCUGGCAAGAGUUCGACAGGCUGUGGCAGCGCUGAACUGUAUAAGUGGACUAGAACCGCCGUCGCACGGACAGCUUCACUCAGGUGGCGAGCCGUACGACGCCAGAGUACGAUUUCAUCGAUGGUGUUUAACUGCGUUUCCGCCUGGAGGGGUUGCGAUAGGGGAAAGCCGAGGAAAGCAUGCAAGUGCCCGCAUGGCCGCACGGUGGUUCGCGGUUUCAAGCAAGUCUAAAUCUCUCAACGUGAGGCAUUGAAACUGAGCUCGAUAGAU
rnacentral:misc_RNA from 1 species